UACGUAGGGGGCUAGCGUUGUCCGGAUUUAUUGGGCGUAAAGAGCGUGUAGGCGGCCAGGUAGGUCUGGUGUGAAAACUCGAGGCUUAACCUCGAGAUGUCAUCGGAAACCAUUUGGCUAGAGUCCGGAAGAGGAGAGUGGAAUUCCUGGUGUAGCGGUGAAAUGCGCAGAUAUCAGGAAGAACACCGGUGGCGAAAGCGCUCUGCUGGACCUUAACUGACACUGAGGGACGAAAGCUAGGGGAGCGAAUGGG
rnacentral:rRNA from 1 species